GACGAUCGCUGGCGGCGUGCUUAACACAUGCAAGUCGAACAGUGGCGAACGGGUGAGUAAUACGUGGGAAUCUGGCUUAUGGAGGGGGAUAACUACGGGAAACUGUAGCUAAUACCGCGUACCAUAGGAUGAGCCCAAGUGGGAUUGGGUAGUUGGUGAGGUAACGGCUCACCAAGCCGCCGAUCUCUAGCUGGUCUGAGAGGAUGACCAGCCAGACGGGGACGGAGACACGGCCAAGAGUCCUGCGGGAGGGAGCAGUGGUGAAUAUUGCGCAAUAGGGGCAACCUGACGCAGCCAUGCCGCGUGAAUGAAGAAGGCCUUCGGGUUGUAAAGUUCUUUCGGUGGCGAGGCGUUAACUACAGAAGAAGCACCGGCUAACUCCGUGCCAGCCGCCGCGGUAAUUC
rnacentral:rRNA from 1 species